GACCCUCUCAAUAUGCUUCCAUUCAUCCAACCCUUACUUCCACAGCUUGCUUACAAAACUGUUGUGGGAGACUGUAUCAAAAGCCUUGCCAAAGUCAAGGUACAUUAUAUCUGCUGCUGUCCCUGC